AGCAGCAGUGUGACAGAGGCAUCCGUUUCCAAGAUUAGAUCAGAUGGGCUCUUAUGAUUAGAGUUUUUGUUUGAUGUCGGAACCAUACCAGAAACUACCUUGGAGAUCAAAGAGAAGAGAGACACCACAGACUUUGAAAUUGUCAUAAUGACUUCUCCUCUCAAAUCUAAGUUGUCUUUCUUCUCUUUUUGUUUAUAUGGGUAGUCACAUCUACUCUUGUGUAGCUUCAAAGGCAAGAUGUUGGAACAGUGAUCCGUGGCUUACUUAAUCAGUGGUGUGAAUAAUUUGAUGUGAGUUGUUCAUAACUUGUUAGUUUAUGGGAGUAACUAAUUCAUAUUCUAGCUAAUCUUUGUUUUGGAAAGUAAUAUUGUUGGGCUAGUCUAUAACUGUUCAUUGCUUACUUGGAUAGUGAUUCCUAGCAUGUCUGUUGGGUCUAGCUAGUAUGUACAACUUGUCUGUCAUGCUCAAUUAUCCCUGUAAGCAUCAGCAUAACUCUUCGUAAUCAGUCAAAAAAACAAAAUUAGCAGUUCAUACUUGAUUGUAAAUGCUCUGGAGAUGAAUUCUUCUUUACAAAUAAAAAUACUGCUAUAGGUACAGAAACUCAAUAAAAGAUUCAAAUUAGUGAAAGAGAUGGACUCACUGCUGGCAGUGUUAGCUAUGUAACUCAGGGACAUUACCAGUCUCCAUCCUUCUUUAUUCGUCCUUAAUGUAACCAUUUGAUUUUAAUUAAUGAUCAAGUUUUAAUUUUCUGUUAA